rnacentral:rRNA from 1 species
UACAGAGGGUGCAAGCGUUAAUCGGAAUUACUGGGCGUAAAGCGCGCGUAGGUGGUUCAGUAAGAUGGAAGUGAAAUCCCCGGGCUUAACCUGGGAACUGCUUUCAUAACUGCUGGGCUAGAGUACGGUAGAGGGUAGUGGAAUUUCCUGUGUAGCGGUGAAAUGCGUAGAUAUAGGAAGGAACACCAGUGGCGAAGGCGACUACCUGGACUGAUACUGACACUGAGGUGCGAAAGCGUGGGGAGCAAACAGG